GGUCUUAUAGUGUAGUUGGUUAUCACAAUGGGUUCUGAAAAUUAUAGAAGCUUCCAUUAACCCGAGUUCGAAUCUCGGUAAGACCU
rnacentral:tRNA from 1 species